rnacentral:rRNA from 1 species
ACGAGAUGCAGCGUAGUCUCGUGGGCUCGGAGAUGUGUAUAAGAGACAGUCCUGAAACCGUGCGCCUACAAUCCGUCGGAGCCUCCUUGUGGGGUGACGGCGUGCCUAUCGAAAAAUGAGUCUGCGAGUCAGUGGUGCGUGGCGAGGCUAACCCGUGGUGGGGGAGCCGUAGCGAAGGCGAGUCUCAAAAGGCGUUUUGAGUCGCGCGCCCUGGACCCGAAGCGGGAUGAUCUAGCCCUGGGCAGGUUGAAGCGCGGGUAAGACCGCGUGGAGGACCGAACCCACCUGGGUUGAAAACCGGGGGGAUGACCUGGGGCUAGGGGUGAAAGGCCAAUCAAAUUCCGUGAUAGCUGGUUCUCUCCGAAAUGCAUUUAGGUGCAGCGUCGGUUGAUUGCAUCGCGGGGGUAGAGCUACUGGAUGCUUGCGGGCCCGUGUCGGGUACCAAUAGCAGCCAAACUCCGAAUACCGUGGAUGUGUAUUCCGGCAGUGAGUCGGCGGGGGAUAAGCUCCGUCGUCGAGAGGGAGACAGCCCAGAUCGUCGUCUAAGGUCCCGAAGCGUGUGCUAAGUGGGAAAGGAUGUGGAGUCGCAUAGACAGCCAGGAGGUUGGCUCAGAAGCAGCCAUCCUUGAAAGAGUGCGUAACAGCUCACUGGUCUAGUGGUUCCGCGCCGACAAUGUAGCGGGGCUCAAGCACACCACCGAAGACGCGGCAACAGUUUUUGCUGUUGGGUAGGAGAGCGUCCCGCGUGGGGCGAAGCGGCCGGGGAACCGUGCCGUGGACCGCGCGGGAGUGAGAAUGCAGACAUGAGUAGCGAGAGACGGGUGAGGAUCCCGUCCGCUGGAUGACCAAGGGUUCCGGGGCCACGUUCGUCGUCCCCGGGUGAGUCGGGUCCUAAGGCGAGGCCGACAGGCGUAGUCGAAUGGAUGAACGGGUGGAUAUUCCCGUACCGGCGGCGUACCGUAAGAGCCGAACGGAUGAGUACUAACCUCCGGUCGCGUGGCGUCGUUCCCUUCGGGGUUCGGGGUCCGCGGUCGUUGGGAGCGUAGUCCUGGUAGGCUAGCGCACAGGGGUGACACGGAAUGGGAGCCGGCCGCGGAGGUGGUUUUCCGUGGUCAAGCACGCAGCCCGUCCCAUAGGCAAAUCCGUGGGACGCAUAGGGUGAGGUGUGAUGAUGGGCGUCCUUUGGACGCGAUAUCCGGUGGUCCAGGCCGUCGAGAAAAGCCUCGGCGCGAGGGGCGUCGCCGCCCGUACCCCAAACCGACACUGGUGGUCAGGUAGAGAAUACCAAGGCGAUCGAGCGAAUCCUGGUCAAGGAACUCGGCAAAUCACUCCCGUGCCUUCGGUAUAAGGGAGACCCCCGGGCGUGAAGAGGCUUGCCCUCGGAGCGUUGGGGGGUGGCACAGACCAGGGGGUAGCGACUGUUUACCAAAAACACAGGUGCAUGCGAAGGCGCAAGCCGCUGUAUAUGCACUGACGCCUGCCCGGUGCCGGAAGGUUAAGAGGAUCCGUCAGCCCCUUUUGGGGUGAAGCGGUGAAUUCAAGCCCCGGUAAACGGCGGUGGUAACUAUAACCAUCCUAAGGUAGCGAAAUUCCUUGUCGGGUAAGUUCCGACCUGCACGAAUGGCGUAACGAUCUCCACACUGUCUCGGCCAGAGACUCGGUGAAAUUGAAGUCGCGGUGAAAAUGCCGUGUACCCGCAGAAAGACGGAAAGACCCUGUGCACCUUUACUAUAGCUUGACAUUGGGAUUUGAGCCUGCAUGUGUAGCAUAGGUGGGAGGCUGUGAACUCUGUACGCCAGUAUGGAGGGAGCCAUCGUUGAAAUACCACCCUUGUUUGUUCAGGUCCCUAACUCUUCGCCGUAAUCCGGUAAGAGGACAGUGUCUGGUGGGUAGUUUGACUGGGGCGGUCGCCUCCC